rnacentral:tRNA from 1 species
GGAAAGUAUUUCUGAAGGUGGUUAAAAUUCUCAUUUACAUUGAGGAAUACCUUUUAAGGCACUUUCAU